rnacentral:rRNA from 1 species
UGAGUACGAGAUGCUACGGCAUCGAAGCAGUCUAUGUCAUACUUCCAAGAAAAGCUUGCACUGUCAUAAACAAAGAAUGCCUGUACCAUAACCGACACAGGUGGGUAGGUAGAGUAUACUAAGGGGCGCGAGAUAACUCUCUCUAAGGAACUCGGCAAAAUGACUCCGUAACUUCGGGAGAAGGAGUGCCUUAUUUCUAAGGUUGCAAUAACAAGAUCCAAGCAACUGUUUACCAAAAACACAGGUCUCCGCUAAGUCGUAAGACGAUGUAUGGGGGCUGACGCCUGCCCAGUGCCAGAAGGUUAAAGAAGUUGGUUAGCAUUAGCGAAGCUGAUAACUGAAGCCCUGGUGAACGGCGGCCGUAACGAUAACGGUCCUAAGGUAGCGAAAUUCCUUGUCGGGUAAGUUCCGACCCGCACGAAAGGCGUAAUGAUUUGGAUACUGUCUCGGAGAGGGGCUCGGUGAAAUAGACUUGUCUGUGAAGAUGCGGACUACCUGCACCUGGACAGAAAGACCCUAUGAAGCUUUACUGUAACUUGAGAUUGAAAUUGGACUUUAUUUGCGCAGUAUAGGUGGGAGGCGUUGAGAAUAAUCUUGCGGGAUUGUUGGAGCCAUCAGUGAGAUACCACUCUUGUAAUGUUAGAUUUCUAACUUUGUAUCAUUAUCUGGUCAAAGAACAGUUUCAGGCGGGCAGUUUGACUGGGGCGGUCGCCUCCCAAAGGGUAACGGAGGCGCACAAAGGUUUCCUCUGAACGGGUAGAAAUCGUAUCUAGAGUGUAAAGGCAUAAGGAAGCUUGACUGUGAGACCUACAAGUCGAGCAGGGACGAAAGUCGGUCUUAGUGAUCUGACGGUGCUGAGUGGAAAGGCCGUCACUCAACGGAUAAAAGUUACUCUAAGGAUAACAGGCUGAUCUCCCCCAAGAGUUCACAUCGACGGGGAGGUUUGGCACCUCGAUGUCGGCUCAUCGCAUCCUGGGGCGGUAGUCCGUCCCAAGGGUUGGGCUGUUCGCCCAUGAAAGCGGUACGCGAGCUGGGUUCAGAACGUCGUGAGACAGUUCGGUCCAUAUCCGGUGUAGGCGUUAGAAUAUUGAGAGGAGCCUUCUCUAGUACGAGAGGACCGAGAAGGACAUACCUCUGGUGUACCAGUUAUCGUGCCAACGGUAAGCGCUGGGUAGCUAUGUAUGGAGUGGAUAACCGCUGAAAGCAUCUAAGUGGGAAGCCCACCUCAAGAUAAGUAUUCUCAUG